rnacentral:rRNA from 1 species
AGAGUUUGAUCCUGGCUCAGGACGAACGCUGGCGGCGUGCCUAAUACAUGCAAGUCGAGCGGACUUGUAGGAGCUUGCUCCUGCAAGUUAGCGGCGGACGGGUGAGUAACACGUGGGCAACCUACCUGUAAGACUGGGAUAACUUCGGGAAACCGGAGCUGAUACCGGAUGACAAUAAGGAACUCCUGUUCCUUAUUUGAAAGAUGGCUUUUAGCUAUCACUUACAGAUGGGCCCGCGGCGCAUUAGCUAGUUGGUGAGGUAACGGCUCACCAAGGCGACGAUGCGUAGCCGACCUGAGAGGGUGAUCGGCCACACUGGGACUGAGACACGGCCCAGACUCCUACGGGAGGCAGCAGUAGGGAAUCUUCCGCAAUGGACGAAAGUCUGACGGAGCAACGCCGCGUGAGCGAUGAAGGCCUUCGGGUCGUAAAGCUCUGUUGUUAGGGAAGAACAAGUGCUAGUUGAAUAAGCUGGCACCUUGACGGUACCUAACCAGAAAGCCACGGCUAACUACGUGCCAGCAGCCGCGGUAAUACGUAGGUGGCAAGCGUUAUCCGGAAUUAUUGGGCGUAAAGCGCGCGCAGGUGGUUUCUUAAGUCUGAUGUGAAAGCCCACGGCUCAACCGUGGAGGGUCAUUGGAAACUGGGAGACUUGAGUGCAGAAGAGGAAAGUGGAAUUCCAUGUGUAGCGGUGAAAUGCGUAGAGAUAUGGAGGAACACCAGUGGCGAAGGCGACUUUCUGGUCUGUAACUGACACUGAGGCGCGAAAGCGUGGGGAGCAAACAGGAUUAGAUACCCUG